rnacentral:rRNA from 1 species
ACUAACUGGAGGACCGAACCGACUAAUGUUGAAAAAUUAGCGGAUGACCUGUGGCUGGGGGUGAAAGGCCAAUCAAACCGGGAGAUAGCUGGUUCUCCCCGAAAGCUAUUUAGGUAGCGCCUCGUGAAUUCAUCUCCGGGGGUAGAGCACUGUUUCGGCUAGGGGGCCAUCCCGGCUUACCAACCCGAUGCAAACUGCGAAUACCGGAGAAUGUUAUCACGGGAGACACACGGCGGGUGCUAACGUCCGUCGUGAAGAGGGAAACAACCCAGACCGCCAGCUAAGGUCCCAAAGUCAUGGUUAAGUGGGAAACGAUGUGGGAAGGCCCAGACAGCCAGGAUGUUGGCUUAGAAGCAGCCAUCAUUUAAAGAAAGCGUAAUAGCUCACUGGUCGAGUCGGCCUGCGCGGAAGAUGUAACGGGGCUAAACCAUGCACCGAAGCUGCGGCAGCGAACGUAUCACUUAAAGCGAUUCAGCGGGUUACGAUUGACGGAGCGAAGCGACGUCAAAGCGUAUACAAAGUCGAGUCGGUUUAAGGAUACGUUCGUUGGGUAGGGGAGCGUUCUGUAAGCCCGUGAAGGUGGCCUGUGAGGGUUGCUGGAGGUAUCAGAAGUGCGAAUGCUGACAUAAGUAACGAUAAAGCGGGUGAAAAGCCCGCUCGCCGGAAGACCAAGGGUUCCUGUCCAACGUUAAUCGGGGCAGGGUGAGUCGACCCCUAAGGCGAGGCCGAAAGGCGUAGUCGAUGGGAAACGGGUUAAUAUUCCCGUACUUGGUGUUACUGCGAAGGGGGGACGGAGAAGGCUAUGUUGGCCGGGCGACGGUUGUCCCGGUUUAAGCGUGUAGGUGUGUGUUCCAGGUAAAUCCGGUUCACUUUAACACUGAG